GCAUAUCAAUAAGCGGAGGAAAAGAAACUAACUAGGAUUCCCUUAGUAACGGCGAGUGAACCGGGAUGAGCUCAAAUUUAAAAUCUGGCGUCUUUCAGGCGUCCGAGUUGUAAUCUAUAGAGGCGUUUUCCGCGCCGGACCGCGUCCAAGUCUCUUGGAAUAGAGUAUCAAAGAGGGUGACAAUCCCGUACUUGACGCGACAACCGGUGCUCUGUGAUACGUUCUCAAUGAGUCGAGUUGUUUGGGAAUGCAGCUCUAAAUGGGUGGUAAAUUCCAUCUAAGGCUAAAUAUUGGCGAGAGACCGAUAGCGAACAAGUACCGUGAGGGAAAGAUGAAAAGCACUUUGGAAAGAGAGUUAAACAGCACGUGAAAUUGUUAAAAGGGAAACGAUUGAAGUCAGUCGUGUGAAAGGUAUUCAGCCGUCUCUGGCGGUGUAUUUGCCUUUCACGGGUCAACAUCAGUUUGAUCCGGUAGAAAAAGGCGGGAGGAAGGUGGCACCCUCGGGUGUGUUAUAGCCUCCUGUCAUAUGUGCCGGACCAGACUGAGGGACGCAGCUUGCCGCAAGGCCGGGGUUCGCCCACGUACAAGCUUAGGAUGUUGACAUAAUGGCUUUAAACGACCCGUCUUGAAACACGGACC
rnacentral:rRNA from 1 species